AAAGGGGGGGCAACUCCCUGAGUAAAGCGGCGCACGGGUGAGUAACACGUGGGUAAUCUGCCCUGGAGUGGGGAAUAACACCGGGAAACCGGUGCUAAUACCGCAUACGAUAGCGAGGUCUGCGGACUUUGCUAUGAAAGGAGCAAUUCGCUCUAGGAGGAGCCCGCGGCUGAUUAGCUAGUUGGUGAGGUAACGGCUCACCAAGGCUACGAUCAGUAUCCGGUCUGAGAGGACGGUCGGACACACUGGAACUGAGACACGGUCCAGACUCCUACGGGAGGCAGCAGUGGGGAAUUUUUGGCAAUGGGGGCAACCCUGACCAAGCAACGCCGCGUGGGUGAUGAAGUCUCUUGGGACGUAAAACCCUUUCGACGGGGAAGAAAACCGCAAGGUUUGACGGUACCCGUAGAAGAAGCCCCGGCUAACUCCGUGCCAGCAGCCGCGGUAAUACGGGGGGGGCAAGCGUUGUUCGGAAUUACUGGGCGUAAAGGGCGCGUAGGCGGUCCGCUAAGUUGGAUGUGAAAACUCUGGGCUUAACCCAGAGCCUGCAUUCAAAACUGACGGGCUAGAGUUCUGGAGGGGGUAGCGGAAUUCCUGGUGUAGCUGUGAAAUGCGUAGAUAUCAGGAGGAACACCGGUGGCGAAGGCGGCUACCUGGACAGAAACUGACGCUGAGGCGCGAAAGCUAGGGGAGCAAACAGGAUUAGAUACCCUGGUAGUCCUAGCCCUAAACGAUGGAUACUUGGUGUGACUGGGAUUGAAUCCAGUCGUGCCGAAGCUAACGCAUUAAGUAUCCCGCCUGGGGAGUACGGUCGCAAGGCUG
rnacentral:rRNA from 1 species